GAGCACGUAGGUGGGUUUGUAAGUCAGGUGUGAAAGCCUUCUGUUCAAAGGAAGAACGGCAUCUGAAACUGCAGAUCUUGAGUGUAGGAGGGGAGAGUGGAACUUCUGGUGGAGCGGUGAAAUGCGUAGAUAUCAGAAGGAACGUCGGCGGCGAAAGCGACUCUCUGGCCUAUUACUGACACUGAGGUGCGAAAGUUAGGGGAGCAAACGGGAUUAGAUACCUCGGUAGUCCUAACCGUAAACGAUGGGCACUAAGUAGAGGGGUUUU
rnacentral:rRNA from 1 species